rnacentral:rRNA from 1 species
AUGAACGCUAGCUACAGGCUUAACACAUGCAAGUCGAGGGGCAGCGGGAUUGAAGCUUGCUUCAAUUGCCGGCGACCGGCGCACGGGUGAGUAACGCGUAUCCAACCUUCCGUACACUCAGGGAUAGCCUUUCGAAAGAAAGAUUAAUACCUGAUGGUAUGAUGAGAUUGCAUGAUAGCAUCAUUAAAGAUUUAUCGGUGUACGAUGGGGAUGCGUUCCAUUAGGUAGUAGGCGGGGUAACGGCCCACCUAGCCAACGAUGGAUAGGGGUUCUGAGAGGAAGGUCCCCCACAUUGGAACUGAGACACGGUCCAAACUCCUACGGGAGGCAGCAGUGAGGAAUAUUGGUCAAUGGACGAGAGUCUGAACCAGCCAAGUAGCGUGAAGGAUGAAGGUCCUACGGAUUGUAAACUUCUUUAUAAGGGAAUAAACCAUCCCACGUGUGGGAGCUUGUAUGUACCUUAUGAAUAAGCAUCGGCUAACUCCGUGCCAGCAGCCG